GACGAACGCUGGCGGCGUGCUUAACACAUGCAAGUCGAACGGAAAGGCCCUGCGUUUGUUGGGUGCUCGAUUGGCGAACGGGUGAGUAUCACGUGAGUAACCUGCCCUUGUCUUUCGGGUAACUUUAGGAAACUCGGGCUAAUACCGGAUAUGAUCUCUUGCUGCAUGGUGGGGGUUGGAAAGUUUCGGCGGUUGUGGCUGGUCUCGCGGCUUAUGAGCUUGUUGGUGGGGUAGUGGCUUACCAAGGUUUUGACGGGUAGCCGGCCUGAGAGGGUGACCGGCCACAUUGGGACUGAGAUACGGACCAGAAUCCUACGGGAGGCAGCAGUGGGGAAUAUUACACAAUGGGCGGGAGCCUGAUGUAACAACGCCGCGUGCGGGAUGACGGCCUUCGGGUUGUAAACCGCUUUCGCCGGUGACGAGGCGUGAGUGACGGUAAUGGGUAAAGAAGCACCGGCUAACUACGUG
rnacentral:rRNA from 1 species